UUCUUCGUCUUGGUUAUGUAGUCACCACUGGGGAAUAUUAAAGUCAUGCUCCCUUGACUCCCAAAGAAGCAUCAUGUCUGUGACUUUACCUCUGCCACAGAUGCACACUUAGAUCCGGUGAUGAAGAAUUGUGUGGAAAGCCCAGCCUGUGGGAGGCCUACGGGAUAAUUGCCUCCUGAUUACCAAGUGUCUAGGUCAUGGAAAUUAAAACCGUUAUGGACCAACCAGAAGAGUCUGAAGGGACUGCAGGGGGAUGGUCCCAUCCUUGGAUGUAACUCAGCAACCAACCUGAUUGUCAGAGGUGAACGUUUGGUGUGGUCCUUCGCUGUAGUACAGCUGGCAGAAAGGAAGUUAAUGGAGGGGGAUUGAUUAGCUCAUCAAAUCAACAAGGAGACGGAAGAACUGGUCUCAAAUCCUGCUCUGGAAAAGUCUACUUUGGACACCGCCGAAAGUCUGCCAUCACCACUGGAUACCAGCUGCCGCCCCACCUGGACGGUGGCUUGGAAAAUUGCCACCACCCAUGGCAAGUAUUCCCCUCCACACGUGACCACCUGAGUCUGCUGUGGCCACAGCUGAUGACCACCCCUACCAGUCAGAGUCCCUGACAGAAGCUUGGACUUUAGUUGUCGGGGUGACAGUUGAUUUUCACGUGGCCAGGAGUUAGCACAAAGAGGAAAAGUAUCCUUAAAUCACUCCUGGGCUGGCUGGUACGACAACUUUGUGUACACCACACUGGCUUCCAAAAUGCUGAAAUGUUUGUUACCAAUUGGAGCACUGGCCAAGUUGUGUGCUGUGUUGUUUGUGAAUGGCUAGAAAAGGUGUGUGGAUUUAACACAGACGCAAUCCGAGGCAUCCUGUAUCUGGGUUUGUUUGAGUCUAUGAGUAGAGGACCUCUGAAUACGGAGGGCUGAUCGUACUUAACUAUAUCUAUAUAAAGACAAGGAAGAGGCUGGAAAUGAUACAUGUUAGCAAGGGCCUUUCACAACACCAAAAUUAUACACCAUUUCUGUAAUUUUUCCUUUCUCAUAUUUGUUUUGAAAUGGUCUAAUUUAUUUUACAAUGAAUAAAAUUAAUCAUUUUAAAUGUUCAAACAAUAAUGAAGGCAUGUCUUUAAAACAAAACAAAAAACUACUAUCAGCGGCCAGGGCUGUAACUUAGUUUGUAUAGCGCUUUUUAACAUGCAUUCAACCUGCAACUCUGUGUCAACACAGCCUGGUAGUGCAUGCUGGGAGUAGAGACUGGAGGACCAGUUCACAAUCCCUGCAGUACAUGAGACCCCCAUCUCAAAAGAUAAAAAUAAAUUAAAAAGCGUCUUUGGAACCUCCCUGUUUCCUUCAGCAACAGAUCCAAAACCCAACAGCCAGCCCUCCCAGGGCAGCUGUCUCAGGCUGCCUAUCUGGGAGGCUGAGGAGAAUGGGGCCAGGUCCCAGUUUAUGACUGAGUGACAUUUCCCAAUCACUGAGAGUCCUACAGGGUACUUGACCUACAAUGUCUGGGUACAAUUUAUAUAUCCUUAUCAGUUCUCUGAAGAUUAUGUGCAUUUAAAUGUGGACCUGGGAUGAACCAGCAGAAGGGCUUAGUGGGUCGAGGUGCGUGCUGCAAAGCAGGACAACUGAGUGGGUUCCACAGGGACCCCCACAGUGGCAGGAGAGAACCCACUUCAGCAAGCUGUGCUUUCACCUCCACAUGCAUACUCUAAAUACCCUAAAGACACACACACACACACACACACACACAUUCACACUCACAUUCACGCACAUACACAUUGAGUGAAUGUAAAAAUCACAAUGAGACAAAAGAAUGAAACUUUUAAAACCAAGCUUAAUAAAUAUCUUUCCUUGGAAAGGACACAAAACAUUCCCAGGAGGAGGCAUCUCAGCUUCUG
ensembl:lncRNA